GGAUCCUUGCAUCUAGGGUACUGUGCUGGCACCUUCCCUGCCAAGCAGUUAUAUUUACCAUGAGCUCCUGUUUGCAGUUUCUGAAGGAUCUGGAAGAAAUCACAACAGUGGAGGUUAUGAGGGGGGACAUAUUCCAGGCUUUUUGUUACCACGUCGCCUCUUCCUAGCAAAAUGGAUGUGCCAGUGGGAUUCCCUGAGUCGAUCCAGCUCUCAUGUUAACUCUGGAUUGCCAUCGAGUUCCAGAGAGACUGCUCAGGAGUAAACUUAGCAAACAAAAAAAACUAAAGAGGUUUCAGUGGUUUCCAACUGGAAAUUGCUUGGAAAAUGAAGACAUGAUGACGUGAAUGUGUGUAACAGCAGGAGAAAUGUUGCAGUUCUCCAUAAUCUGUAAACCUGCAAGAUUUGUAGGAAUCAUGGAAAUGGCUUUGCUUAAUGAAGGAUCGUAUGUAUUGAAGGGGAAAUUCCUUUCAGAUCUUCACAGACUUCAGGUUAAAGAAUCGUAUCUCUGUGGGAGCUCCUAGCCUUGAUGAGUGCCUCAGUGCACCUUGUGUGGGAAAUGGCACCUGCAGAUCCUCACCAGCUUCAUAGAGAUGGUGUUCAUGUGCAGUGGGGUUCUUUAAUGGUUGCUUAUUUGUUACUUACCUGGAGGCCCAGAGAAUUUGGCAUUUUGGCAGAAUUUCAGGGGUUUUUAUGUUUUCCUGUGCUGUUGAUUGUGCUGGGACUAACACCAAGUCGAUGGAGCACCUCCUUGGGUGGGCAGAGCAAAAGUCAGCACCCUCAGGAGAAAGCAUGUGAUGAGGAGGGAUGGCUUUCAUGUGGGAGACAGGGCAGAGAUGGAGGAAACCUGGCUCCUGCUGCAGCACCCUUCCCACUACCCUGAAGAAAGCAGAGAGGGGCUUGUGCUGCUUCAGAUGGUGUUGUUAAAAGAAAUGAACGUUGUGAAGCACUCAUAUGCCAUACUGAUAAGAGCCCUAGAAAACCUCACAGGAAAAUCAGCAAUUGUGACUUCCAAGCAGGUUUUGAAUAGUAGGCAGUAAAUAAGGCCUGAAGACACAUGCUGAAUAAUGGCACUGUAACAAAAUACUGAAUAUCUGCUUAUUAAGUGAGCACUGUCCAUCCUGAGGUAGAAUCUAGUGGAAAACAAGGCAUAAUCCUUUGAAGAGUGAAUCAUAAUGCAGAUGGUAUAGGGCUGCAUCGGCUUCACUGAUAAAGGAUCCCUUGCAGACACAAAGAAGAGAGGAACAAUUCCAGGCCACUUUACAAGUCACUGGGAACAAAACAGAGCUGCCUCUGCACCUUGAACUAGUGUUUUUUGUGGGGAGAAGGGAGAGACAUAUUCUUCUUUCUCUAUAAAGAAAAUAGGAUUUUGAAAGCUAAAUUUUAGGGGCCAUUGAUGUCACCGGUCAGUACAGCCUAGAUCCAGCACUGGGUCUGAGAUCAUCAGAAAAGGUAAGUUAAUUUUUCCAUUGUUGGAAUUGUUUUAACUCCUUCCCCCUUACAUUUUCCCUUUCAUUUGUCAUCUCCUUCAGAACUGAAAAUGGACCAUUAUUUGUUGCCAGGGGCUUGGUCACCCUCCCCACCACCCUUCCCCAUACCCACCGGUCCCCCUGUGCUGGAGGUGCUGCCAUUCCCUCCAGCCCCAUAGUCGCACAUGAUUGGGGCACAUCCCACAUCUGCAGCAAGAGUCAGGCUGUCCAAGCGAGUUGCAUAUCAGAAAUUACUUUUACUUAACCUAGGAGGCCCCCACAUCCCCUUUAAGCUGUUUUUGACUGUGUCUUCAAGUGUGUAAUGUGCUCCAUAAACAAAUAACCUGUGUUUUUUUUACUGGGUCAUUAUGACUUGAGCUGUACGUCAAGCACAGGACGUGGGGAGGAAGUGGUGAGACCAGGAGCAGAAGGGAGACAGGAGCAGCCUCAGACCCAGAGGACUGCGAGGAAGCAAAAUAUGGAUGGCUGCCAGAACAAAUGAAGAGCCUUUGGGGAAACCUUUUCAAGGCCUCAUGGAACAGUCAGAGAACAGAGGUUAAAGAAGGCACAAAUAAUGUCAGACCUCCAGGAGAGCCAUUUUCCAUAGCAGGAGGAUGUAUGUUUCUGCAAAGCCUGCUUUGUGUGACUGUUCAGAAAUGACCGAAGAAAUACCAAGAAGCCUUGGCUGAACAUUAAGGAAGCUCACGUUGGAGAAUGCUGCUGAAUUGAGAGGACACACACCGAAGAAUUAAGAUCUAGAAUCAUACCUGUGGUGAGAAAAGCUGCAGCAGUGACUGACUGAAAGGGCUGACCCAUCAUACACAAAACACCACUUUCUUCCCACCAGUAAUGGAGCUGAGGUACCUGAAGGCCUUUGUAAACUAAGCUGGACUCUGCUCCAUUUUGUUUAGUCCUGAGGCUGAGGGCGUGCAGCAGCAUGUAAAAAUCACAUCAUUAACCCUUGUGAUUUCAUCCUGGACCAUGUGUGCUUCAUAGAGACUACAAUUGCAAGAGAUGUAUGGAAGCCAUGGUUUGAAAAGCAGUUUGCAGAACAUCUGGUAUGUCAACAAGAUGGAGGCAACACGUUUGACUGUGAAAACAAGGGUCCACAACUGCAUCUACAAAACCUCUGCACACACAAGUGGCUUCUUUUCUGUGACCUCUGGUUUCUCAGCUUUGGAUUCAAUUCUAAGUUUCAGCUCUCAGCUUCAGACUUCUGGAAAGACCUGACUCCCUUGAUUCACUCUUCUUGAGCGUGAAUCACUUGACCAGUCCUCUUCGUUUUAAUGCUUGUUUCUCUUUCCUACUUUUUCCUGCUUUGGACUAGUAGCAAAAUAAGAAACCACCAUAUCAGCUAAGCAUCCUUCUAAUGCACAGAGAGCAGUCAUCUGUGUGUGCACACAAGUUGGCUACUUCGUGGAUGCUGAGCCCAGUAUUCAGAGGCUACAGGGAUCCCGGCAGCCCAUACUCAUUCCUGAAGAACAGAGCUCCUUGCUUUUGUAUUGCUUUUGUGUAAAUGCAAGAGGGCUGAAAGCAAAACCACUGAUGAAUGUGGAUCUGGAGGGAAAAGCCUAGCAGACACCUCCAAAUGCCCUGGGAAGCCUUGAUCACUUGUGCUAUGAGGGAAAGAGCAGUGACUAAAAGAGAGUUUGACCAGACCAGAAAUGAGGUGGGGAAGAGAAUAACCGAACAAAAAGGCACAGGGUAACAGUUUGUUGGGAGGAGAGGCUCAUAUGGGGUUGAGUUUCAUUUUAAGGUUCUGAUUUAUCUGCACUGAACAUGGCAUCAGCUGAAAUUCAGAACGAAACUGGGACACAAACUUAAUUGCAAAACCAGCUGAAACCACAGGACGCAGUCACAGAAAAUUCUCACUCAUUUGAGGCUGGCAUAGGGUUUCACUCUGAGCUUCAACAGGAGGUUUUGGGGGCCCCAGAACAGAUUCAGGGAGCUAAAAUCCAGUUUCUUUCCCAAGUUCAAUCCUGAUGUAGCAAAAGUAUUGAGGGAGAUGAUUAGAGGGCAUCCACACAAGUAGGAGUGACACAAGCAGUAAGUGAAAGGCUGGCACAUUGCUUUUCCACCAAACAGCAAGAUUUGUAUGGGGAUAUGUUACAAAUGUUGGUGUAAACAGAUCUGGUCACCCUAAAAUACCUCUGCACAAUGCCAUGGCAAUGAGGGACACAGAAAAGCCGAAGGUCAAUGGCUGUUUCUCUUGCAAAAGAAGGGACCAAGAACCUCAGACACACUGAGACCAGGCAGCCGCAGCUCCUCCACUGCUCUAAUUGUCAACUGUGGGUGCCUGAUUCCUGGAAAUCAGGGAGAGAGGGAGGUCUAUGCCUGACAUGAACAGGCUUGUGGUUGCAUUGAAAAAGCCAAAACAACAGCUUAAAGCGAGUCAUUCCCACAGUGUCACUCCCUUGCCUGUCACUGUCUCACUGCCACUUCCUAAGGGAAUAUUUCCUGCUCCAGACAUUUAUCCUACUUUGGAUUUUGCUCCUCCUGCCACUUUACUUUCUUGGCUAUGAAGGCACACUUGGAAUCUCAGUAGCCUGAAGUGUGCUUUUUCUCUACUAGAUAUAGAUGGAAAUCCUGAGGGAUGGGUUCAGUCUCAGGGAGGUGUUGCACAGACUUUCUGUCACAAGCACUUAACCUGAGCUAUUGGUUAUCCCUUCACCUUGCUGUGACUCCCUUGUUGUGAUAAGGGCAGAGACAAGCAGGGAGAAAGCUGUAGAGGUUUUAUUUCUUUGUGGUAUUCCAAAAAGCCAGGAACUUCUGAGGCUGGGAGACUCUUGUUGCUUUCAGCAUUAAACUGUGCUCUCCUUGGGUAACCUGAAGGGCAUGGGAUUUUCAAGAAGUCCUGGGAGAAGCUGAGCAUCUGGUGCAAAGCCUGUUUAUAUCAGGAAAAGUGGGGGACUGGGUAGCAGGGAGGUGAAUGCUGCUGGGAUAGGCAACCUGUUGAAACAUGCAGGUUUUUCUCGUGCUUUUUGGCAUUUAGAGUUAACGGGUGUGAAAUCAGAGUAUUCACUUCUGCUUUUCAUGAGCAUGUUCAGUGCGAUGCAUGUAUGGUGUGGAAUUUUGCAAUUGGUAGGUUUUCCCAUCAGUUGUGGUUUGUUUCUCAGAGUUUUACAAGGGAUGAAUGGGAUAUCACUUGAGGGUAAAAUAUAAGGUAGUGUAUCGGGGCAGGGAAUUACAAGAAAAAUAGUAUCUGAAUGCUGUUUGUCUUACAAGUAAGUACAUGUAGGUGUUUAUUCUUUCUGAAGGCUCUUGUUAGUUGGACAUUGACCAAUCAUGACAUCUGUUGAAAGUUAGUGUCCCCCAAAGUUGUUUCACACAGUUUGGAGUUUGCUUUUUUAAAUCCACCACAAAUAAAGCCCAGAAUUAUCUCCCUGUCCCCACAGAGGCAAGCAGGAAGCUCCUGGGAAGACAAUGCAUUCUCCAAGGAGGUGGAAGAGGGUGUUUGGGUCCUCUCAACCUCUGUGGGUUGAGCAGUGAAGCCCCCAUUUCACAUUGUGAAAGAGAACCCCACUGAGGUCCAUGGGAGGUGAGACAAUGGUAAUUUCAUUAAAAUAGAAACAAAGACUGAGUCCAGACAACUCCAAACCUUCUGAACUACCAUUCUGAGCUAAAGUACAAGUGUGAUUGGGAACGGCUGAGGGACCUGGGGGGUUCAGGCUGGAGAAGAGAAGGCUCAGGGGGGACCUGAUGGCUCCCUGCAACUGCCUGACAGGAGGAU